UGAAGGAGAGAAAGGGCGACAGAGAGGAGGAGGAGGAGGAACGGGGGGAGGAGUGAGUGAGCCAGUCAUGGCGGGUGGCGACACAGUUCCCUCUGCUCUCCAUCUGCUGUGGGCGCACUGGUCAAGAGUGCACUGGGGGAGAGGGCGAGAACUGGGGCUGGAGUCCGGGGACGGCCGCCGGAGCUGGAAGUGGGGAACGGGGCCAGAGCCGGAGGACGUGUUUAACAUGUCGGCUGGACAUGGGCCAGAUGCUCCGUUUCCAGGAGGGCGUUGCUGGACCAGAGGCACACUGAUGCUGCCAGGUGACGCCGGCCUUAAAAAUACAGCCAGCACUGUUUAAUCAUCUGGUUCCAGCAAAACUCCCCAGGUCACUUUCUGUUGUCCCUGUGAUGAUCCGACGUGUUUCCGACAGGGAAGAGCUGCGGCCGUGAUGCUGAGCCUGGAGGAACUCGCUGAUGCGAUCGCUCCCUUCUCACUUGUUCCUAACCUAACGCGAUGCCAGGUUAUCCCCUAAGCUGUUCAUCCACCGAUACAGAGCCAGAAAUCAACAGCGGAUGAGACUGAGCGGGAUCAAAGCAUCCUUGUUGUUCUCCGGCUUUGUUCGUGGCACUCUGGGUAUUUACAGCUGACUGGCAACAUCACCUUCUUUCAUGCUUAUUACCAUUUGUUUUCAUGUCUGUUAACAGAGGUCACAAUAAAUGCUGACAGGCCUGAUGUCGCUGUGAUUCAGCGCGCUCACAUAUCCCCACGGGGACCUAGCGUUCAUUGUUUUAGACUUAGCCUAAUUACAAAAAGCUGUAUGAAUAAACACGCAGCACGGACAAAUAAGUGCAUGAUCCCAUCAAACAAUUACAAACUUUUACACAUUCAGAUGUAAUCCCAAACAUGUGUACGUGGCAGACACUGGGCCUGUUUAAAGCAGACUCUGCAGGGGCUAAGCUAAGGUCUAAAGCAUGUUAUUCUAUGGUUGAACGGUGCAGAGCAGCAGCAACUAUGACAUUUUCAAAACCAGAUCAAAUCCUGCACAAAUGUCAUCGUGGCAUUAAAGUUGUCAGGUUUAUUGUUUAUGAAGCUGUGGCGAGUAAUCAUGCAAGCAUUGUGUGCAUCAAAAUGAAAACUUUUUGUUAUAAAAUCUGAUUAACAAGCUGCUAUAAAGUCGACCUGCGAACAUUAUGAGCAAAGCGGGAUCCGUUCCUCUGCUUCGUUUGGAACCUCCACUUACUCCCAGCGUUGUUCUUUGUUUCAUGGAGACUUUUCAUCACAAUUAUUAUUAACGCGUCCUCAUCCCUCGUCCUCGCUUCUCCUUCUCUCAGCGGGAGACACACAGGACAAAAAGGAGCGGAGGACGAGGGAGAGAGGAAUCUAAAAAUAAGCUAGUGAGCGAGGAAGACAAACGAGGCAGGGUUCUGAAGCAGUCAGAGGACGGUGCAGCGUGGCUGCGCUUUGCAUACGUGUACAGACAUCUGCCUGCGCAUCUGUCUGAGUGCGCGUCUCUGUCUACCGUGCACACUCCAACGUAAGCCCAUUAACGCGGCUGUGUCGCUACGAAACGCGGCGGCGACGCCAGUCAGGAGGAGCAGACACACACUUUGUGCUCACACUUGUGUUAAAUAAGGCCUGAGGCACACGCUUCAGCUGAGCCACCGGUUCACGCCGUGUGUGUGUGUGUGUGUGUGUGUGUGUGUGUGUGUGUGUGUGUGUGUGUGUGUGUGUGUGUGUGUGUGUGUGUGUGUGUGUGUGUGU